rnacentral:rRNA from 1 species
UGAAUGUCGGGAUAGGGAAACUCACUUCAACCUGGAGCCCGUGAAAAGGCAAGUAUAAUGACCGUACUCAGAACCGAAACAGGUGCCCAGGCAGAGAAAGCCAAGGCCUGUCGGGAAUAACCGACGUUAGGGAAUUCGGCAAAUUAGUCCCGUACGUUCGCAAUAAGGGAUGCCUGCUCCGGCAAGGAGCAGGUCGCAGUGACUAGGGAGCUCCGACUGUCUAGUAACAACACAGGUGACCGCAAAUCCGAAAGGACUCGUACGGUCACUGAAUCCUGCCCAGUGCAGGUAUCUGAAACUCUGGUUCAACAGAACGAAGGACCUGUCAACGGCGGGGGUAACUAUGACCCUCUUAAGGUAGCGUAGUACCUUGCCGCUUAAUUAGCGGCUUGCAUGAAUGGAUCAACGAGAGCUCCACUGUCCCAACGUUGGGCCCGGUGAACCGUACUUUCCAGUGCGUAGUCUGGAGACCCCCAAGGGGAAGCGAAGACCCUAUAGAGCUUUACUGCAGGCUGCCGCUGGGGCAUGAUCGACGAUGUGUAGAAUAGGUAGGAGUCAUUACACAGGUGCGCGCGCUAGCGCGUCGCCGAGACAACAGUGAAAUACUACCCGUCGUUGAGCGUGUCCCUCACUCUUUCAGAGGACACCGGUAGCUGGGCAGUUUGACUGGGGCGGUACGCGCUCGAAAAGAUAUCGAGCGCGCCCUAAGGUCACCUCAUCCGUGUCAGAAAUGCGGAGAAGAGCGCAAGAGCAAAAGGUGGCCUGACAGUGUUCUCCAUAACAAGGAACGCUGACGCGAAAGCGUGGUCUAGCGAACCUGUGUGCCCGAUCGAUGCGGGCCAUAGAUGACAGAAAAGCUACCUUAGGGAUAACUGAGUCGUCACCGGCAAGAGCACAUAUCGACCCGGUGGCUUGCUACUUCGAUGUCGGUUCCCUCCAACCUGCCCGUGCAGAAGCGGGCAAGGGUGUGGUUGUUCGCCAAUUAAAGGAGGUCGUGAGCUGGGUUUAGACCGUCGUGAGACAGGUCGGCUGCUAUCUAUUGGGGGUGUGAGGUGUCUGACGGGAACGUCCACAUAGUACGAGAGGAACUGUGGAUGGGUGCCACUGGUGUACCGGUUGUUCGAAAGAGCAAGUGCCGGGCAGCUACGCACCAAGGGGUAAGAGCUGAACGCAUCUAAGCUCGAAACUCACCUGGAAAAGAGACACCAUUUGAGUCCACCUGUA